UUUAUCUUCUUUCCUUUUAAGGCAAUAAAGAAUGUUGAUGGGAGAACCAUUUUCCUAAUUUCCAAAUUAUUAAGCUGGUCGUCAUAAUGGAUGAUCAGCAAGCUUUGAAUUCAAUCAUGCAAGAUUUGGCUGUCCUUCAUAAGGCUAGCCGGCCAGCAUUAUCUUUACAGGAAACCAGAAAAACAAAACCUUCUUCACCAAAAACCCAGAAUGACGUCCGAGUCAAAUUUGAACAUAGAGGAGAAAAAAGAAUCCUACAGGUUACCAGACCAGUUAAACUAGAAGAUCUGAGGUCUAAGUCUAAAGUUGCCUUUGGGCAGUCUAUGGAUCUGCACUAUACCAACAAUGAGUUGGUAAUUCCGUUAACUACCCAAGAUGACUUAGACAAAGCUGUGGAACUGCUGGAUCGGAGUGUUCACAUGAAGAGUCUCAAGAUAUUACUUGUAAUAAAUGGAAAUACACAGGCUACUAAUUUAGAACCAUCACCAUCAUCAGAAGAUUUGAAUAAUACACAACUUGGUGCAGAGAGGAAAAAGCGACUAUCUGUAGUAGGUCCCACUAAUAGAGAUAGAAGUUCCCCUCCCCCAGGAUACAUUCCAGAUGAACUACACGAGAUUGCUCGAAAUGGGUCAUUCACUAGCAUCAACAGUGAAGGAGAGUUCAUUCCAGAGAGCAUGGACCAAAUGCUGGAUCCAUUGUCUUUGAGCAGCCCUGAAAAUUCUGGUUCAGGAAGCUGUCCAUCACUUGAUAGUCCGUUGGAUGGAGAAAACUAUCCAAAGUCACGGAUGCCUAGGGCACAGAGCUACCCAGAUAAUCAUCAGGAGUUCUCAGACUAUGAUAACCCUAUCUUUGAGAAGUUUGGGAAAGGAGGAACAUAUCCAAGAAGGUAUCAUGUGUCAUAUCAUCAUCAAGAGUAUAAUGAUGGUCGUAAGACUUUUCCAAGAGCUAGAAGGACCCAGGGCACCAGCUUCCGAUCUCCUGUGAGUUUCAGUCCUACUGAUCACUCCUUAAGCACUAGUAGUGGAAGCAGUAUCUUUACCCCAGAGUAUGACGACAGUCGAAUAAGAAGAAGGGGAAGUGACAUAGACAAUCCUACUUUGACUGUCACAGACAUCAGCCCACCCAGCCGUUCACCUCGAGCUCCAACAAACUGGAGAUUGGGCAAACUGCUUGGCCAAGGAGCUUUUGGUAGGGUCUACCUCUGUUACGAUGUUGAUACCGGAAGAGAGUUGGCUGUUAAACAAGUUCAGUUUAACCCUGACAGCCCGGAGACCAGCAAGGAAGUAAAUGCACUUGAGUGUGAAAUUCAGUUGUUGAAAAACUUGCUACACGACCGAAUUGUUCAGUAUUAUGGCUGCUUGAGGGAUCCUCAGGAGAAAACACUCUCCAUCUUUAUGGAGUAUAUGCCAGGGGGUUCAAUUAAGGACCAACUAAAAGCAUACGGAGCUCUUACAGAGAAUGUGACUAGGAAAUACACCCGUCAGAUUCUGGAGGGGGUCCACUAUCUGCAUAGUAAUAUGAUUGUCCACAGAGAUAUCAAAGGAGCAAAUAUCUUAAGGGAUUCCACUGGCAAUAUCAAAUUAGGAGACUUUGGGGCUAGCAAACGGCUUCAGACCAUCUGUCUCUCAGGCACAGGAAUGAAGUCUGUCACAGGCACACCAUACUGGAUGAGUCCUGAGGUCAUUAGUGGAGAAGGCUAUGGCAGAAAAGCAGAUAUCUGAAAUAAAAACUGUUGCUGUGGUGGUGGUGUGAUAAUGGUAUUUUCAUAAUAUGCUUAGCUCUGUUGUUUUUGGAAAAUACGUUAUUGGAUUCUGGAUGAUUUAAGGUAUCUACAAGUCUUCCAGGAGUGUAGCAUGUACUGUGGUAGAAAUGCUAACUGAAAAGCCACCUUGGGCUGAAUUUGAAGCAAUGGCUGCCAUCUUUAAGAUCGCCAAAUAGCCAACAAACCCAAAGCUGCCACCUCAUGUCUCAGACUAUACUCGAGACUUCCUCAAACGGAUUUUUGUAGAGGCCAAACUGCGACCGUCAGCUGAGGAGCUCUUGCGGCACAUGUUCGUGCAUUAGCAGGAGCAGCGGCAGCUUCUGUGCCUCCACCAGCUCCAUCUUCGAGUUCACCUUCUCUCUUACUGCACUUUCCUUUUUUAUAAAAAUGAGAGAUGGGGAGAAAAAGACAAGAGGGAAAAUGUUUCUCUUGAUUCUUGGUUAAAUUUGUUUAAUAAUAAUAGUCAACUAAAUUUUUUAUAUUUAAUCUUUUUUUCUUUACAAGAACUUGAAACUUUUUUUUAAAAAAAUUUUUAUAAUGUACUGAUGUGGUUCAGAGAUAUAAAGCACUUUAGUACAUAGUUGCUCUUUUUAGUACAAACAAAUCAUUUGAAAUAUAUAAAGAUUGUAGUCUUGCCCUGUAUCACUGACAUGGAAGACAAAGAGAAGAAAGUGAUGUACAAUUUGUAGUUUUUAGUGAUAGUAUUUAAAUAGAUCGUUAUUUGUGGGGUUGAGCUCUAAACUUUAGUUUAGGGUAGGUACUCAACUUAAAGAAUAUAGGUUCCUUCUUAUGUCUGUAUUCUUUAGAUGCUAUCCUCUGUCUGUCAAGCUGUUUUGCUCAGUAGGAAUCUUGAAAAGAAGAGGCGAAUCUCUUUAAGAGGUAUGUUUGCUACUCCUAAGCAGUAUAAUAGGCAAAUACAAUAUAGUAGACCCAUGUUACUGAAAUCUAUAGUCCUUGGGAGAUAGCUUUCUGCUUAAAAAUACUGUUGUAUUUGAAAGCAGAUUAUGUGAAGCCAAUGAGUAAAUUCAACUAAAACACAGACGACUGUUCAUUAAAUGUAUGAGCAGUAGAAAAGACCAGUAGAAAUAAUGAACAAAAACAACCAACUGUCAUUUGGUGUAUUUUAAACAUUGUUUACUUGAGGGGAAAGUCCCAAAAUGAAGGGAACUGAGAAAUGAUAAAAAAAAUUUUGUAUAAUAUCUUCCUAUUUCAAGCCCCUGGUUUCCAGUAGGAAGCAGUCUUUAACUCAAGUACUCAUCUGUUAAGGCUCCCAUCAUGAAGUAAAACCAUUGUUCUUGGGAUCACAGAGUACUAAGCCAGAGGCACCUCAGAAUAACAAACAUCAGGUAAAACUGAGGUCAGUGGUGGGGAGUCUUUUCACUUCAUUUGGCAUUUGGCAAUGCCUGGAGACACUUCGUUGUCAUAACUGGCAAGGUACUACUAGCAUCUAGUGGGUAAGGUUUGGGCGAUGCAGCUAAACAGACUUUAGUACAAAAGGACUCCCUUCCAAGGAAUUAUCUUGCCACAGAUGGCAGAAGUGCCUAGAAUAAAAACCCAAUUAUAAGCUGAAAGCAGCCAUUCACAAAGCGGUAAAAACAGAUUUCAGAGGAAAGAUACAGGGCAAAUGAGGGUCAUAAGAGACGUGAUGAUUAGUCAGGGAUGAACAGCCUCCACACAGCAGAUCAGUUGGUCCUUGACAGCUGCUGAUUGCACUUGAAUCACUCACUCUCACUUUAGAAAUAAUCCAAGUAUUGAACCUUUUGAAUUUAUCAUCUCUUUAUAUUCUUUCCUUAACAGUCAGUUCAUCCUUCUAGACCCAGAAAAGUACACCAAAACAAAGUGUUUACUGGCAGAGGGAAGGUUAAAACACUGCCAGAUAUUUCCAGUGUGUGCAUCUACUUGGAGCCAUGUCAUUAAAUGGAAAGACUAAGCUGGAGAGGAUCCUGCUGUCUCUAGUAGAAUUAUGAGACCUGAAAAACAUGAAGGUGUCAGUAAUUUGGCCACUUGUAAAUUUUUCAGCAUAUUAAACCAAGUGCUAAGUAGUUUAUUUUCAAAAGUGUAGAUGAUAACAGUCUUCCAGGAGACCCUGAAUGUGAUACUUUUCAUCAGAAGGGACUAAAUAAAAUUCUCAUUUUUUUUUUUGUUGUUGUUACAAGGUAUGUUUAUUUAGGUAUUUUUUAAAGUACUUUGCUUCUGCAGUUAUGUAGAUCUGGCUUUAAUGUAUCAAGAUCCUAUCUGGCAUACCCUGUAAUAAUUUUUGAAAUUCUAGUAGUCUGAGUCAAAGCACAAAAUAUUAGUUAACACUUCUCCUGUACACUGUAAAGCAAAGGAAGCCCCUUAAAAAGAACAAGCAUCAGGUGCCUCUCACCUCAGCACAUCUUAAUCUUAUGCUGGAAACCUCAUGUGUGGGUGUGUUGUAAUUUCUUUGUCUUUUAUGAGUGAGGGCAUCUUUUCUACUUGAGCAAAAUCAUGGUACCUGGAUUGCUAGGGUUUUAUUUUGUUGUUUGUUUUGCUGUUUCUUUGUCUCUGGUUGUUAUUUCCCUUUGGCUCAUUUUUGGUCCAUCAGGGUAACGUGCAGUACAGAAGAGAGACAAACACUCUUCAAAAAGAUACCUGCACACUGGAACUCAAAGCAAUUGUUAGCUUUUUAAACAGUCUCCUAUUGCUUUCCUAAAUUCAGUAGUUAAUAGCUGCAUCAGAAUACUUUUGCUUUAAAAGAAAAAUAAACUUAUAAAGACUUAAAAAUAGACUAAUAGUUUACAGAGUUAUUAUAUUGAAUAUGAUGUGAAUUUAUUUCAGACCAGUUGUGAAGUUACCAAAACACAAUGGAAAUUUAUUGACAUACAUAUAUAUUCCCAUAUAUAUGUAUAAAAGUACACACACACACACACACACACACACACACACACACACAAUACACGUGUGUGUGUGUGUGUGUGUGUGUGUGUGUGUGUGUGUGUGUGUGUGUGUGUAAAAGCAAACCCUGCUAGAGCAAAAAAGCUUGAAGUAGAUAAGGGUAUGGGACAUGGAAGGUCAAUAGUAAAUAUAAAAGGAUUUUUUUUGAAAGGAAACAAUUUUGUCAAAGGAAGUAAAAUAAUUACACUCCAUUUUUUCUGCUUAAUAGUAUGGGCUAACAGAUGAAGUUUGAAUUUUUAAAAAUUACUCUAAAUGUAUUUUGUUUUUUUUUAAAUGCACAACUGAUUCUUUUGGUACUGCAAUGUUUCUUUGUGGCUGGAAAAUGGCCAGACUGCUGACUUUGUGCCUUUAAAUGCAUUCUGCAUUGCCAGUAGCAGACUUCCGGUGCUGGAGCUAGAUCCACUAGCAGCGUCAGAUGUGCUUUCAGGAAGCACCUUCUGCCUAGGCCCUAAGAGAUUCAAAGUGGCAUGACAGGAAUGAGUCAAGCGAAGACCUUUUGCAGUGCAAACAAAAGUAGUUGAAUAAAAGAGUUGAAAAACAUAACUAAUACAAUUUUUGAUGGAUUGGUAUUUAAGUAUUUUGAAGUUAUACAUACUUUGAGGUUUUCAGAAUGAAUGCCUUGAAAACUUUCAGCACUUUUCCUUGUUUACAAAAAUAUAUUUCUAACUUUAAAAACAUCUAUAACUAUUGCCUUAGAAAGUAUUAAGAGGCACAAUCUACAACAUAUGAGAAGUUGAAUAUUAAUGCACAUGCUGGACUAUAAAAGACAAAUUAAAACUUUUAUUUCAGAAUAAAUUGAAUUGGCUUUCAUUUGAGUCUUACCUUGUUCCCAAUAGAAAUUACAUAAAAAGUAAGAAUACAUCUUUAGAAUGGCUUUCUGCUAAGUUCUGACAUUGGUCAGGUCUGAUCUAUACUAUUUCUGAAAUAUAGUUGUUAUAAAAUAUGUGAAAUCACUAAGAAAAGAAAAUCAAACCUGAAUAGAUUGGCUGAUGACCCAGCACGAUGCAGACUCCUUUGCUAAUGGCAGAGUUCAUGCCAGAGGUUUCAUUUGGGGUCUGAGAACCUUUAUAUAAAUUCAGCUGGAGUCGACUAGGUACAAAAAUCUAUCAGUCUUAUUUUAAUUUGUGGUUUUGGAGUCAGGGUUCUACUCUGUUUCAGGCUGGCCUGGAACGUCAAUGCUCCUGCUUCUGCCUCUAGGUGUUGGGAAAACAGGGGUGCACCACCACACAAAGAUGCACCACCACACCCAGCUUUGUCUGUUUAUUUUUUUAAAAAAUAGGGUCACUCUUUUUCAUUUUCUUACUCAACAAUUGUAAUGUGCUAUGUCACAUUAAAUUAACACACUUCAGGAAGUUAUAGUUGAGGAAGAGUAUGGGCAGGCAGUUACUUUAUGGCAUACUUUAACUCUGAAAGUUUAGCAGUAUGUUUAAAAUGCUAGGAUUUUUAUAUGAAAUAAUAAGGAAGAAAUUUUGGGUAAUUGUUGGCUAUUAUAGACUACAAAAACAUUAACAAGAAGGAUUAGAGUAAAACUAUCCCCAUAUCCCAGGUUAGGCAACCUCUGUCAGAAACUGCUCUUACUACACAAAACAGCCCCAGAAUGUUCUGUGACAAUGGAGCAUUUAUUCCUUAGUACACUGUAUUGGGGUUCUCCCUGACCCAGCUUUUGUUACUGUUUUAGUUUGGUUUUAAGGGAAAAAAAUCCCAAAAGUUUAUUUUAGUUUUAGGUGUUGAAAUACCCAAAAUAAUUGAUAGAGAUUCUCGCACCAAGUAUUUCUUAUGCUAAGAUCAGAUUUUUUUGAGACCCUAUAGUUUAUUACUAAAUCUGGUGGUGUUUUUUAGAUGUAACAUUCAUAUUUAUUUCACUUUAACACUGGUUAAACUUCAAUGAAAAGCAAAUUGUUAAUUUUUAGUAGUGCCUUUUUCUCUGUAUGCCUUAAUUUUAUUUUAUAUUUGUAAUUCAAAUCACCUAACAAAAUGAAGUUUUCCAAAAUCAAUAGGCCUCAAGAGUUUAUUUGGCCUUAGACUGUGUGUUGGCCCCUGUGUUUCUUAAUGCUUAUUUUCUCCUCUUACCCUUACUACCUCCUUUAAAAAAAGUUAGGAGAGAAACAGAAGCAUUUAUCUGAUUGCAAUCUCCACUAGAUGUGAAUUCCUAGAAUAACUAUAGAAAGGUAUUCUCAUUCUAAAAGACAUAGUAAAUUGAUUUUUGAGUUGAUUACAUGAUUUUCAGUCAUACUGGCACUGUCCAAGUUCUUUGUGCAUUAUUAUUUGGUUAUGAUUUUCAUAUAACUAGGGUUGUUGUCUUUUCCUAAAGCACUCUUUUAAGUGUUUUACAAAGGUUGAGGCAAUGAGCAAGAAAUCCAGGAACAGUGGAUUCUAAUCCUUAGUGUUUAACAUUUUGACUAACACUCUAGCUUACUGUUCUGUGAAGUAAGUAAGUGUGUGUGUGUGUGUGUGUGUGUGUGUGUGUGUGUGUGUGUGUGUUUGGAGCUGGGGCAGGGGUAGGAAGGAUAGUGUAGUUGUUUGGUUAGAUCUGUCUUUGUUCUUGGAAGAACAACUGAAAAUGUAUGAUCUACUAAUGUGGGAUGAUAAUAAUCACCCUCAAGUAGGCAUGCCAGUAUAUUUUCCCUAAGUAGCUAGUGCAAAUGAUGGUUUAAUAAAGGUAUUUAUUGUAAAUUGCCAAGCUCUUAGUUGCUAAAAGUAGAUUAAAAUUCAAUUUGUGUGUUGAGUAUAUGAUAAUUAGCUUAUAUAUAAUUCUUAAAUAGAAAGUAUUCAGUCUUAGAUAUUUCUUUAUGAACUUUUUGGAAUAGAAAUUCUGCCAGACAUUAUCCAACCUAACCAGCUUCCUUAGCUUACCAAGUCUUCAAAAGGAAAUAUUCUUAUACCUCUUUUUGGUUGGCUAAGGAAGGUGUGCUGUGAUGCCACUGUUCCUACUACAUAGGUAUCUUUAGUGUUGCUUUGACUUCUCCCAUUAUCUAAACAGGAUGCCAUAAGAGCUGUGGAAAUACCAGGGACAUCCUUCUCUCCAUUCUCACCUUUCAGAGCUGGAGAUGAUAAGCUUUCAGGGGAACAUAGACAUUUCUUUUCUCAGAGGUACUAAGAGUGGUACAGGUUAAGCUUCAGGAAUGCAAGGGAGGAGUCAUAGCUAUAGUAAAGAAAAGAAUAAAUUGUAUCCAUUGUCUAUGUACAGUCUCACAUAAUUCUUGGUGGUUUUGUGUUUGUGAAUUUUAAUAGACAUUCAUAAGGUAUUAGUCAUAAGGUAUUGUUCCCUAGCAGCAAAGACAUUAAACAAGAGAAUACUCCUGUCCUUCUGCCUGAUGAUGUUUGUUUGUAGCUCAGUCUGUAUUACCAGAAUCACUUUAAACCAAAGCUUUUGUAUUCCCUGCACAUAUAGCCAAAAUGACUAGCCCUGUUAAAUCUGCUAGUAUAAGCUAAUAGUAUAUAAAUGGUAGAGCAGAUGCUAGUAGAAUUUGUAUGCCAAUCUAUCCUUCAAGGAAAAGGACAGGUGCUCAGUGUUUGCAUUUAGACAUGCAGAAUCUCCUUAAACUAUUGUGGAGUUGUUAUAUAGAUACUGCAGACUUGAGUUUGUAUGUGUGCCAAUCUUAUUAACAUCAUUUAAUCACUGAUGUAUGUAGAUUUGUACUGACAUCUGAUUCCUCAGAUUGGUGGCUUAUUUUCUUUAUAGUGUCUUAACAUUUUUGAGCUUGUGUUUGACAUAAGGGACAUUUUGACAAUGCUGUGAAGAAAAGUAGGUUAUGAAUUGAAGUCUGCUUUGUGCCAUAGACAGUUUGGAACAUACAGAAGCAUCUGCUCUCUAGUUCUAUAAAGCUUACAGAAUUUGUCCCCUACUUCGGAUUUCUGAAUCUUGUAAUGCCAGAGAGAAAAGCACUUUGUGUUCAUUUAUUUGUAUGUUUUAUAAUUUCUUAAAAAAAAACCCUGUGUAAUCAGUGAUUUUACCAUUAGCAUUACUUAGAAGGGAAGAUAAGUAAAUAUAUGUUAAACUUGAGUAGACUCUUGGACUCCAGGAUAUUUUGACAUGUUCUCAUUUUUCCAAAGACUUUUUCCCACCUGCAGAAAGGAGAGUAGGCUAGUGGGAAGCUACAAGCCAGAAAGGCUUAUGGGCAAAAGGAAAUAGGCCAAACCCUUGUGGGUUAAAACUACAUUCUCUAGGGACGAGAAUACUUCUUUAAAGACAGUUGUGGGUUUUUUUUAUAAUUAGUAAUUAAAAGGUUUACAUUUCUUCUAUUGAUGUUGGUUUUAAAAUUCAGCCUGCAUUCUGAAAUAUUCUAACAAAGUUAAAACCAAAAAAAUAAUACUUUUAAUGUCUAACAUCUCUUUCAUGUGGUUGUUUUUACUCAUUGUAAAUAAACUUGGAUAAAUUUUAAAAUAAACUUUUAUCUUACAAACUAUGAUUAUCAAUUUGUAAAUUUACCCUUUGACUUACUGUAAAUUUAAAAUGUAUCCAUUAAAUUCUCUAUAUUUAAUGUAUUAUUUUCAGCAAAUAUUUUUAAUCUCAGUUGAAUACUGGGCAGUUUAUAAUUAUGUAUAUUUUUGUUUCUUAUCAAUGUUGACUUUUUUGCACAUUUUCCAAACAUUUAAUUUGUACACUGAUUUAUAUGACCAAUAAUUGUUGAGUGUCUGAGAAUCAUGAGUGUGUGCAUUGAACUACUGUCUUCGUGUUUGCACUUCUUCCCAAAUGUAGCCCUCAGUUACUACGCUGCUACAACAUUUAGUAGGACUUUUUUGCUUUUGCAAAGUUACCUUGUGUGGUUCUGUCUUUGUUGAGGAACUCAGGAGUUCAGUGUUGCAUUCAAAUUUUAUCCUGUAUUCUGAAUCAGUUCCUAGGUUGAAAGUAUUCUGUAUCAAGAGAUAAGUGUUUGUGUGGAGAUGUCCUUUUCUGUGUGUAGGCACAUGUAUAUAUCUGAGUAAAUUCUUAUUUUCAUUUCAUUUCUACAAUUUAAAGAACUUUAUGAUAAAUAUAUGUAAAGGCUUUCUGAAAGAUUAUUUACUAUAAAUAUAUAUAUAUACACUAUACUAUAUUUUCAUCUGGCUGUUCAAAAUUAUUUUUAAAAUUUUGGUUUUAACCAUUUAAAGCAUCUGUAGUUCCAGAACUGGAUACAAAUUUUGCUUAGAGCUCAGUUAAAAUACUCUUGCAACUAACAUCCUUUUUGGGGGGUGGGGUGGGAGAUUGUUAAAACAGUAGCGAAACACACUGUCCACUGACAUGGCCUUUGACCUCUCAAAGCUGUUAAAAAUGUGAGAAACUAAAUUGUCUUGAAGACAUGCCAAGAUUUUUAUAUUUCCAUUACUUUAGACCUGUCCGGCUAUUGCUUUUGAAUAUUUCCUUUAUUUCCAAAGUUUUCAAGCUUUAAUUUUUCUCUUACUGAGCAAAGUUAGACAGUUUAUGAAACAAUGCAUUGGCAUAUUGUGAUUCUUCACAGUUGACUACCAUUGUGUUAGGAAUCUCCAAAUACUCGGUGUAUCUUUUAUACUGUGCUGUGUGUUUUAAGAAACUGGCAGAAAGAGUUGGAAAUUAGGUUUCCCGUCUGACAAUGUUACUGUAUUCAAUGUUGAAUGGAAGCCUUCUAAAAUUGUGUGGUGUUAUGAAAUGAUUUGUGUUAGGAAUAAAGUCUACAGUUGACGUUCACUAUCACUAAGCUUAUUAGGUUGAAAGGAACCCAUGUGACUAGAACCUACCAUAAGCCAGACACAGUGUAGUAUGUACCACAUUUCACACACACUUUGGGUUUGUUGUUCAUUCAGAAUUGUUCUUGUAAAAAAUUGUGUAAAAUCUCUUGAGUUUUAUAAUUUCUAUGUAUUUUUCUCUUGCUGGUAAAUAGCUUUUUAAAAAUUUAAUAUAAAAGAAACCAUGUUUAUAUUUUGUUAGUGAUAAUGACUUUGUUAUAUGUCAAUUUGUGUAUUAUCGACACAUCUUUAUUUAGAUUUGUCAUGCAUGGAGGCCUGCAAUAUUUAGUACAGUGAGACAUACUUUUUCUUUCCUGUUCAUCUUUGGACAGAUUGUGGUACAGAGGCUUACUCUCAGUAAACUUCUGGACUAUGGGAUGGAUAUAAAUGAUGGCACUUUGAGUGUUAAUAAAGCUGGUAUUUAUUCCCACUGUGA